rnacentral:rRNA from 1 species
AUGAAGGGCAACUUCAAUCUAACGAAUCAACAAAUGCUGGACUCGAUAUUGAAAAGAUCGUGUACCUGCCUAUAUUGCCAAGCGUUAAGGGCAAAUUCAAACUAUCAACCAGCACAAGUGACAGAAUCAUCAGUUAUAGACAGUGCAAUAAUGGCUGACCGGAUGAUGAAACGAAGACGACGGGAUGAAUUAACAAGAACAGCACGAAUGAAGAGGAAAGCACAAAUUCAACUCAAGAAGAGCAGCAAACGUGCUAGAACCAAUAACAGUGAAAUAGGCAAGGAUGAUAAUUCCAAUGCCAUUAAGAUAUGGAACUUUGGGGGGCCAACAUACAUCUGCGAACACUGCCAUGCACUUAUGUGGCAUGAAGAAAGACUACAAUCUUAUGGAUGUAGAAAGCCAACCUUUGGGAUAUGCUGCAAACGAGGACAGGUUAUCUUGCCACCAUUGAAAGAACCGCCACCAUACCUUACGAGUUUGUUGACAAGAGAUGGAGGAAAAAGAUCAGCAAACUACCGAAAAAACAUUAGGUCUUACAACUCCAUGUUUGCAUUCACAUCAAUGGGGGGAACUCUAGAUAAGCAAAUAAAUAAAGAGCGUGGACCUUAUGUUUUCCGACUGAAUGGCCAGAACCGCCACCAGAUAGGCACCCUGCUACCUCAAGAAGGAAAUAAGCCUCGUUUCCAGCAGUUGUAUAUCUAUGACACGAAUAAUGAGAUCCAGAACAGGGUAGAAGCAUCAAGAUCUGGUGAACGUGAUGCCUCACUAGAUGAAACAAUUGUCAGUGGCCUACAGAGCAUGCUCGACGAGAAUAACACACUAGCACAAUCAUUCCGAAUGGCAAGAGAUAGAUUUAAAGAAGAUGACUACAACAACUUCACUCUAAGUUUACUUGGCAACAGGGAUCAAGAUGGGAGACAAGAUAACAUGCCAUCAACAUCGGAAGUUGCUGCACUGAUGGUCAAAGAUCCAACCCAAAAACAUUAUGGGCGUGACAUUGUUCUCGAGUACAAAGAUAUGAAACCUAAAAGGAUUUCAGAAAUCCAUCCAAAAUUCAUGGCCAUGCAAUACCCGUUGCUCUUCCCAUAUGGAGAAGAUGGUUAUAGACUUGGAAUCAAAUACAACAAAAAUAAAGGUGUGAGUAACAAGAAAUAUAUCACCAUGCUGGAAUACUAUGCAUAUUAUCUCCAACAGCGCCCAGGUCAGUCAAUGUUGCUGCUAACAUGUGGAAAUCUAUCAAUGCAGUUCGUGGUAGAUGUCUAUACAUGCAUCGAACAGUGUAGACUCAGUUGGAUCAGAAAAAAUCAAGGAAAAUUAAGAACAGAACUUUAUGAUGGACUACAGGACGCACUCAGAAAAGGAGACACACUGACAGAGCAAGUAGGGAGGAGAAUAGUACUCCCAGCAAGUUUCACAGGAAGUCCUCGAAACAUAGAGCAGAACUACCAAGAUGCGAUGGCAAUAUGCCGUUGGGCUGGACAUCCUGACUUGUUCGUAACAUUCACAUGCAACCCUAAUUGGCCUGAGAUUCAGUUGAUGCUAAAUGAAGCAGGGAACCAGAAACCAGCAGAACGACCUGAUAUUGCAGUUCGAGUGUUCAUGAUAAAACUAAAAGAGCUCAUGUUUGAUAUUAAAAGUAAACAACAAUUUGGAAAGACUAAAGCAAUCAUCUUCACAAUAGAAUUCCAGAAGAGAGGACUCCCACAUGCCCAUAUACUAAUAUUCCUUGACGGAAAAGAGAAAGGGAAGCGUCUCAAGCCCUCACAAACAGAUGAAAUUAUAUGCGCUGAAAUCCCAGACAAGGACAAGGAUCCAGAAACAUUUGAAGCUGUCAAGAAUUUUAUGAUGCACGGACCAUGUGGAGAAGCAAAUCCAAAGUCACCCUGCAUGGAAAAACAUAUGUGCAGUAACUACUUUCCAAAAGAAUUCUGUGACGAGACGAUCGUUGAUGAAGACAACUUCCCGAGGUACAGGAGACGAGAUAAUGGCCGCCAGAUAGAUAAGGGAGGAGUCAAGUUGAACAAUGGAUCUGUUGUACCAUACAACAAAGAUCUCCUGGUAAAAUUCCAAGCACACAUAAAUGUGGAGUUGUGUAAUCGAUAUAUGUCAAUCAAAUACCUCUUUAAGGAUAUCCGUCAAGGAGAUAACCAAGCAACAGCACUGGUUGAAGAAACAGACCAAUCAAAACACAAUGAUGAGAUUAAAAUGUACCUUAGAUGCAGAUACAUAACAGCAACUGAAGCAUGCUGGCGAAUAUUCAAGUUUCCUCUACAGUACCAGCAACCAUCUGUUCAGAGGCUAAUGUUCCAUGAGGAGAACAAGCAACAAGUCAUUUUUCCUGACUCAACAAACCUAGAAGAAAUAAUACAGCGGCCAAGAUCAAGUAUCACUAUGUUUACUGAGUGGAUGGAGACAAAUAAAAAACACAAAGAUGCGAGAGAAUUAACAUAUUUGGAGUUUCCUACAAGAUGGACAUGGGAUAGGACAAAACAGAAGUGGACAAGGCGGAGAGCAGGAAGGAACAUCGGCAGGAUAUACAAUGCUCAUCCUGCAAGCGGAGAAAGGUACUAUCUCAGAGUUCUCCUCAACACUGCAAAGGGUUGCAUGACAUUUGAAGAUAUCAGGACUGUCAACGGAAUCGUGCACUCAUCAUACAAAUCAGCAUGUCAUGCGCUAGGAUUUCUUGAGGAUGACAAGGAGUGGACUGAGUGCAUCAAGGAAGCAUCAGAAUGGGCAUCUGGGGUGCAACUACGCCAAUUGUUUGCAACUAUUUUGUGCUAUUGUGAGGUUACUGACUCAGGGAUGUUAUGGGAAUCCAACUGGGAGAAACUCUCUAAAGACAUACAGCACACACCAAGCUGGAUUACAAACUUUCCACACCCCUUCACUCCUUCACACAACAGAAAAUGCACUUUAACAGAAAUUGAGAAGCAAAUGGGACAAGCUGGAAGAUCACUAAAGGAUUACCCUGGAAUAGAGAUACCAAACAUGUCUGAGUUAAAUGAAAUAGAGAACAGGCUUAUAAAUGAAGAAAUGAACUACGAUAAAGACAAGUUGAAGGCUGAACACGUGCAAAUAGUGGAAAAUCUAAAUUUAGGUCAGAAGAAGGCCUUCGAUGCAAUAAUAGAAUCAGCAGAUCAAUCAUUAGGGAAGAUAAUAUUCGUGGAUGGCUAUGCCGGGACAGGUAAGACAUACCUUUGGAAAGCUAUCACUACAAGGCUAAGAUCGGAGGGGAAAAUCGUACUCGCAGUUGCAUCUUCUGGCAUCGCAGCGCUUCUGCUUCAAGGAGGUAGAACAGCACACUCAGCAUUCAAUAUUCCAAUCAACCUGACAGGUCAAUCUACAUGCUACAUCAAACAAGGUUCCGAGGUGGCUAAUCUAUUAGUGAAGACGUCACUAAUACUAUGGGACGAAGCUCCAAUGGCAAACAAAAAAUGCUUCGAAGCACUUGACAAGAGCCUAAGAGAUGUGCUCAGGUUCACCAAUGAGAAUAGUUGCAACAAGCCCUUCGGCGGCAUGACAGUUGUUCUAGGAGGGGACUUCCGACAAAUCCUCCCUGUUGUGCCAAAGGGAAGAAGGGAGCACACUAUAAGUGCGUCAAUCAAAUGCUCAUACCUCUGGCAACAUUUCAAGGUAUUCAACCUUACUAAAAACAUGCGGCUCAAUUCUCUGUGCAAUGAUCAAGCAGAGAAGCAGAAGACUGCGGAAUUUGCAGAAUGGAUACUACAGAUCGGUAAUGGAGACGCAUGUUUAUUAGAUGAAAAGGAGUAUGUAAGUAUCCCCAGUGACCUGCUGCUACAAAACGGAGAUGAUCCGAAAACAAAAAUCAUCCAAAGUACCUAUCCUGACCUCCAAGACAAUUUCUGCACACGGAAGUUCCUGGAAGAAAGGGCGAUAUUGUGUCCAAUGAACAAGACUGUCGAAGAGAUCAAUGAGAAUAUUAUGGGUCAAAUCCAAGGUGACAGGGUGACAUACCUGAGCUGUGACAGUGUGAGCAGAUCGAUGUCUUACAACAAUGAAAUGGAAUUGUUGUAUACUACAGAGUUUCUAAACAAGUUAAAGCACCCAGGAUGUCCAGAUCACCUACUUGAGCUCAAAGUCGGUCUGCCAGUGAUGCUUCUCCGCAACAUCAAUCAAAGCGCAGGGCUAUGUAACGGUACUAGAAUGACAAUCACAAAACUUGGAAAAAGAGUCAUCGAAGCGCAGAUCAUAACUGGAGCGCACGUCGGUAGUAAGGUAUGCAUCCCUCGGAUGACCACAGUGACAUUCGAGCCUAAAUGGCCAUUUGUACUACAAAGAAAGCAAUAUCCUCUGUCCGUGUGCUUCGCAAUGACAAUCAACAAGAGCCAGGGACAAUCUUUGAAUAAGGUCGGCCUCUACUUGCCCAGGCAAGUUUUCACUCAUGGGCAACUCUAUGUGGCGGUCUCCAGAGUAACAAACAGGCAUGGCCUGAAGAUCCUGAUCGCCGGCGACGAUGAAGAACACGCAAGCAAAGGGAUGGCGAAGAACAUAGUGUACAAGGAGAUCUUCUGA